rnacentral:rRNA from 1 species
UACGAACGCUGGCGGCAGGCUUAACACAUGCAAGUUGAGCGCCCCGCAAGGGGAGCGGCAGCCGGGUGAGUAACGCGUGGGAAUCUACCCAUCUCUACGGAAUAACGCAUGGAAACGUGUGCUAAUAUCGUAUACGUCCUUCGGGAGAAAGAUUUAUCGGAGAUGGAUGAGCCCGCGUUGGAUUAGCUAGUUGGUGGGGGAAAGGCCUACCAAGGCGACGAUCCAUAGCUGGUCUGAGAGGAUGAUCAGCCACACUGGGACUGGGACACGGCCCAGACGCCUACGGGAGGCAGCAGUGGGGAAUAUUGGACAAUGGGCGCAAGCCUGCUCCAGCCAUGCCGCGUGAGUGAUGAAGGCCCUAGGGUUGUAAAGCUCUUUCGCCGGUGAAGAUAAUGACGGUAACCGGAGAAGAAGCCCCGGCUGACUUCGUGCCAGCAGCCGCCGUAACAC